UAGAGUUUGAUCNUGGCUCAGGAUGAACGCUGGCGGCGUGCNUAAUACAUGCAAGUCGAGCGAACAGAUAAGGAGCUUGCUCCUUUNAAGUUAGCGGCGGACGGGUGAGUAACACGUGGGUAACCUACCUAUAAGACUGGGAUAACUUCGGGAAACCGGAGCUAAUACCGGAUAACAUUUAGAACCGCAUGGUUNUAAAGUGAAANAUGGUUUUGCUAUCACUUAUAGAUGGACCCGCGCCGUAUUAGNUAGUUGGUAAGGUAACGGCUUACCAAGGCGACGAUACGUAGCCGACCUGAGAGGGUGAUCGGCCACACUGGAACUGAGACACGGUCCAGACUCCUACGGGAGGCAGCAGUAGGGAAUCUUCUGCAAUGGGCGAAAGCCUGACGGAGCAACGCCGCGUGAGUGAUGAAGGGUUUCGGCUCGUAAAACUCUGUUAUUAGGGAAGAACAAAUGUGUAAGUAACUGUGCACUCCUUGUACGGUACCUA
rnacentral:rRNA from 1 species